AGCAGUUAGUGAGCUUCACGCUCAGCCCUGGGCAGCACAAGCAGUGGUCUCACUGGGCACCAUUCCACAAACUGCAGCUGAAGGAAAGCACCUUUGAACCUCUUGGCAGCACAGCAAACGACAGCACCUGCCCAGCUCCCCCUCCAGCACUCCUGCAGAGCCUCCGGCAGCUCUCCGCUUCAAGUUCGAGAGCUCACAACUGUGCAAAAGGGCAUAAAGUGGCUGGAAGUAUGCAGAAGGGAGGAAAAGGUUACUCCCACGCUGCACUCCUUUCCACGAGCUUCAACGUUUACAGUGUGCAAUGGCUGCUGAAUCAGCCCCAGCAUUUUUACGCUGGCAGUGAGCAGUAACUCUGAGAGAGCAUUGCCAACUGUUGUUCCGAAGGAAUAAGAUUUAGGGAGUUAUUUCAUCAGAAAGAAGAAACUGGUUUCCUCGUGUUUUUGCUAGUAUUUAUGGAAAGCUGUCCCAUAGAUCUCCCAGUGUUUGGAAAGGGCUAACUCUCGUUAGCAGAGGAUCUGGAAUUUUUUUUGUUGGUUUUUCAAAUGUUCAGUUUUCAGUCAGCAUCUUCUGAGCUGAAUGUCUGAGGUUACUUGAAUGCACAGCUAAAUAUCAGACCAGUUCUCUGCUGGGGCUGAGGGGGCUGCGGUAUUCCCAGCGCCUUUUGAAGGUGGUUACAUCUGGAAUUGCUCACCAGCUUUAAAUUCCAUCUAUAUUUUUUGAGAACUGGCCUCACAAUGUUCCAAACAAGGAGAGAAUGUGGAGAUGAGCUCUACAUUUGUCAGGGGCCUUAUGCCUCUGAUUUGGAUCAACAGUGUAGCAAAAUGUUUGUUCUCCAAAGGAAGCGGAGGUCACCUCUGCCAUAUGGGUCAUAACAACCCGAAGCAGCCCUAUAGGCUUGGGGAAGAGUGGUUGGAAAGACACCUGGCAGAAAAGGACCUGGGGGUGUCAGCUGACAGCCAGCAGCGUGCCCAAGUGGUUGAGAAGACCGAUGGAAUACUGGCCUGCAUCAGAAAUGGUGUGGCCAGAGGAAUCAGUGAAGGGAUCAUCCCUUCGUAUGUGGCACUCAAAGUGUUGCCUAGGGAGGUGGUGGAAUCACCACGCAUGGAAAUAUUUAAGAGACAUGUGAAUGUGAUGCUAAGUGAAAUGGUUCAGUAAUGGAUUUGGCAGUGUCAGGUCAAUGGUUCAACUCGAUGACCUUAAGGUAAUCACUCCAACCUAAAUGAUUCUAUAAUUCUAUGAUUCUAUAUCUUAUGAUAGCCCCAUAAUGUGGAGAUGUCAAUUAUGGCCAAAGCAGCUGUGUUGGUAAACAGCUGUGUGUAAGCAAAUCAGAGCCCCUUAUUACCAUAGUAUGCCUUAUUUUGUCAGAUAAAGGUGGGAAGCUCUAUUUGUCAGAGAGUACCUUGCCUGUUUGGAUUGCUGGUAUAUCUACUCUAUGAUUCUACGCUAUCAGUGAAAAUAUUUCAGGUCCAACAGGCUGACUCUGCAACUCUGCAACCAAAGUCUUACUGACAACUAAAUAACAUGCUGGGGAAGUUUCUUUAACUCUACUAAUUCUAUUGCAAACUUAUCUGAGUCAUUUAGAGGAUGAUGCAUGUCUGAUUAUUUUUGCUAUUCUGGUGUGAGUCUGGAUACUACCUGUACUACGUGCUUCAGUAUUUGAGAAUUAGUCUUACAAAUUUCCAUUCUCAACAGCUUUUGAUAAUUCAGAAUUGUAAAUGAACUAGAUUUUUUGAAAAACUCUUUCUGAAUGAAACAAUACAAAAAUACAAUACCUCAGAAAUGAUGAAAUGCAUCCUUUUGAGGUUAUGACAUUUGUUUCCUGUAGGCAAUGAAAUUUUAGCACUUGCAGUCCUCUGAGUGUAGUUUCUAUCCAAUGCACGUACUGCAGAGAACAGAACUAUUUCAGGUUAUUAUAUGCUAUCUCUUUUGUGCUUAGGAAAACCUUUUGGAAAGAGUAACAGUGAGGUCCGGCAGUCAUACACUUAAUCAGUCUAUACCUUAAUAUCUUAUUUCCAAUAGAGGUUAAUGUCAAUUUGAUUUACAUUACAGCAGGAAAUCCUGCAGUAGAAAAUAAUGGAGUAUACUGUCAUAUGAAAACUCUCUUAUUAUCACGUAGCUUCUUAAAAGCAGCAUAUUCCCUGAAAUACGAAGUUUAUGCGUCGUGUUAGAUAUUCUGGUUUCUACUUGUGUUACCUGAUGUUCUUGUUACCCUCACAAACUUCCUGUUUCUGGAAGGAAUGACGUCCUUUGGAAAUGAGUUGACACACUGUGCAUUUACACAGCUGAAAAAUACCUGUUUCCUUUUGCCAGUUAUAAAUGUGUUAUCUUUAGAUUAAAUGAAUGUUUACUUGUU
ensembl:lncRNA